UUUAACAUAUCGCUAAAGUUUGACCCGAAAGCAUAGCAUUCUAGUAAGUGAGAUUGUAAGUCUCCCCCCUUUCAUGGUAUUGUGUGGAAACAUGGUCUUUUUUCCUUCCUUUAGAAGAUGUCUUGGUUCAAGGAUCCAUGCUUGUGAAUAGAGGGUUGAGUGUUCUCAAAAGAAUGACUUAAACAUUGAAAAGCAAAAGCAAUACUAACUUCUAAUCAACUAACAUUCAACUAAGAUUUAAUUUCAAGCACUUUAC
rnacentral:lncRNA from 1 species